rnacentral:misc_RNA from 1 species
UUUCCGUAGGUGAACCUGCGGAAGGAUCAUUAUUGAAAGGGAACCCUUCGGGGUUCAACCUGAAACCCUUUGACUUAAUCACCUGUUUCUUUGGCGGGCUUGCCCGUCAGAAGUUUUCUCAAACCCAGUAUAUACGUGUCAUCUGAAAACAACAUUAAAUAAAACAAAACUUUCAACAACGGAUCUCUUGGUUCUG